AGUGAACUUCGUUUGCAGUGAAAAUCCUUUUUGAGGCUUUUUUUGCCGCAAAAAGAUUGUAACGUAAAAGCCCGACCCAUG
rnacentral:sRNA from 2 species